AGUGAACGCUGGCGGUAGGCCUAACACAUGCAAGCCGAACGGCAGCACAGUAAGAGCUUGCUCUUACGGGUGGCGAGUGGCGGACGGGUGAGGAAUACAUCGGAAUCUACUUUUUCGUGGGGGAUAACGUAGGGAAACUUACGCUAAUACCGCAUACGACCUACGGGUGAAAGCAGGGGAUCUUCGGACCUUGCGCGAUUGAAUGAGCCGAUGUCGGAUUAGCUAGUUGGGGGGGUAAAGGCCCACCAAGGCGACGAUCCGUAGCUGGUCUGAGAGGAUGAUCAGCCACACUGGAACUGAGACACGGUCCAGACUCCUACGGGAGGCAGCAGUGGGGAAUAUUGGACAACGGGCGCAAGCCUGAUCCAGCCAUACCGCGUGGGUGAAGAAGGCCUUCGGGUUGUAAAGCCCUUUUGUUGGGAAAGAAAAGCAGCAGGCUAAUACCCCGCUGUUCUGACGGUACCCAAAGAAUAAGCACCGGCUAACUUCGUG
rnacentral:rRNA from 1 species